rnacentral:tRNA from 1 species
GGGGCUGUAGCUCAGUUUGGAUAGAGCAGCGGUUUCCUAAACCGCGUGUCGGAGGUUCGAGUCCUCUCAGCCCCGCCA